UUAAGGGACUUUUCAGUGUGAGCUUUUCUAUUUUGCAGUAGCUCCCUGAGCAGAUGCUUAUUCUUCAUUUGCAUCUUUGUUUCUUUGCUUUCACAACGGGCAGAAUGGUUAAAGCCAAAGCAGUGUCUUAGCUUGGGCUGCAACUCUGCUCGCUUUGCAGCACAUCAUCAGCUUCACUCAAAUGGAACAGUCCUUCCCUGACCUAACCACAAUCUGCCCAAGGUCCCCAAAUUAUUCCCACAAGUUAUACUACAACAGCUAUGACUUGCUGGGAAAGAAUCCUACAGCAGCUAAGCACAAGGAAACGUGAUUUUGCUCUUGGACAUACAGGAAAUGCAGAAGCCAAAAGUUUUAAGAAUGCCUAUGAUCUGCAUAAACGUGUUGAAACGCACAAUGAUUCAGAUGCCUACAGCUGCGAUGUUGAAGGAUGUGGUUUUACUUCAUGGACUUUACAAACCCGGAGACGGCACGACAAGAGAGCACAUGUGGUUUUGUAUAAGAGAUUCAGAUAUUGAAUUAAAGGCUGUCUGAAGUUUGGUCCAGCUUUAGACAGACUGUGAACCACUAUGAAAUAAUCCACUUAGAUUUUGCUGUCACUGUGGAAAACCUAAUGUAAAAGUGGCUUAAAUCUUCUUGUCUUUAUAGCUUUUACUAUUGGGAAAGUCUUGCAAUUCCAGAAUCUUUUAAGAACAUUUAUUGACUUUUUAAUUGUCUCUACUGAGGAAAUAAACUGUGCAUAAAUAUAUCAACAGCUUCAAUAGUACAAACAAACUGUACUCUCCAUUUUGGCACAAGAAAAUUCAGUAAAUAGAUGUAAUUACAAAUGUGUGUCUCUUAUUUUCUGUUCAGUUGUGUAUUUUCUGAGCUUAUUGGAAUCCUGCUGCAGUCAGUUCUCUUCACAUUG
ensembl:lncRNA